rnacentral:piRNA from 1 species
UCAACGCCUAGUUGGUGAGACACCAGCAGAAA